rnacentral:lncRNA from 1 species
UAUAUAGUGAAGUACAAGGCAUCGAUGGACUUCAAAGAAGAGUUUCCUGAUGCCUCCACUGUCAUCUUCAUCUGUGGCUUCGAGAAUUGCAAGACCCACAUAGGGUGUAUAGCAUCGAAGUUGACAUAUCCACCUCGACAAUAGUGGUGAUGAAGUGAGGGCAUUUUCAUCAAACAAAGAUUAGGUCUUCAUCCUUCUAUAUUUGCCUGUUCCCCCGA